rnacentral:rRNA from 1 species
UCCAGACUCCUACGGGAGGCAGCAGUGGGGGAUAUUGCACAAUGGGGGGAACCCUGAUGCAGCGACGCCGCGUGGGUGAAGGAGCGUUUCGGCGCGUAAAGCCCUAUCGGCAGGGAAGAAGGAGGACGGUACCUGACUAAGAAGCCCCGGCUAACUACGUGCCAGCAGCCGCGGUAAUACGUAGGGGGCAAGCGUUAUCCGGAUUUACUGGGUGUAAAGGGAGCGUAGACGGCUGUGCAAGUCUGAAGUGAAAGCCCAGGGCUCAACCCUGGGACUGCUUUGGAAACUGUGGAGCUAGAGUGCUGGAGAGGUAAGUGGAAUUCCUAGUGUAGCGGUGAAAUGCGUAGAUAUUAGGAGGAACACCAGUGGCGAAGGCGGCUUACUGGACUGUAACUGACGUUGAGGCUCGAAAGCGUGGGGAGCAAACAGGAUUAGAUACCCUUGUACG